CAGGCCUAACACAUGCAAGUCGAACGCCCCGCAAGGGGAGUGGCAGACGGGUGAGUAACACGUGGGAACGUACCCUUUGGUUCGGAACAACCCUGGGAAACUAGGGCUAAUACCGGAUACGCGCGAGAGCGGAAAGGUUUACCGCCGAAGGAUCGGCCCGCGUCUGAUUAGCUAGUUGGUGAGGUAACGGCUCACCAAGGCGACGAUCAGUAGCUGGUCUGAGAGGAUGAUCAGCCACAUUGGGACUGAGACACGGCCCAAACUCCUACGGGAGGCAGCAGUGGGGAAUAUUGGACAAUGGGCGCAAGCCUGAUCCAGCCAUGCCGCGUGAGUGAUGACGGCCCUAGGGUUGUAAAGCUCUUUUACCUGGGAAGAUAAUGACGGUACCAGGAGAAUAAGCCCCGGCUAACUCCGUGCCAGCAGCCGCGGUAAU
rnacentral:rRNA from 1 species